rnacentral:rRNA from 1 species
GACAGAGGUGCCAAGCGUUAGGCGGAAUCACUGGGCUUAAAGCGUGUGUAGGCGGACUUGUAAGUACCUUGUGAAAUCCCACGGCUCAACCGUGGAACUGCUUGGUAUACUGCUUGUCUUGAGCCACUUAGGGGCUACCGGAACAAAUGGUGGAGCGGUGAAAUGCGUAGAUAUCAGGAGGAACACCAAUUGCGAAGGCAGCUCGCUGGGACGUUACUGACGCUGAGACGCGAAAGCGUGGGGAGCAAACAGG